AAUAUGACCAUAAGUUACAACGAAGUUGUGACUAAUUAUUGUCUUUGUCUUUGUGAUGCACGGUCACAUCAGCAUAAAAUUUCGUGCAAAAAGUGUAAAAAGUGAAAAAAAGUUGUGUUAAUCUUAAAAAACAAGAUAAAGGUAAGUUAUAACAUAAAUAUUUUUGUUUGUAUUUCCUUAUUUCAGCGUUACGGAUAUGGUGAGCAUAGGCAUUUUUACUAAAACUAAAUAUAAGCCGCCAGAGGCGGUUGUCAAGUAGGUAAGUUUUUUAUUUAAAUUUAUUUUUCAGUUUUUCAAGAACAAACAAUGUUUUUUCUAGAAUUUGUAAUAGAUUCGACUUCAAAGAUUCUGGCCCUUGUGUUAAUAUUAACGGCAAAACUGAACGUGCGCAAGCGGACAUUCCGAUUUCGUCAUAUGAAGAACUCGGCCAUUUGGACUCCGAUGCCGAAGCCAAUCCAGAAGCAUUUAGUCACUCAGAAACGACAAUUACAGUCUUACCCAAUAUCAAGAUGAUCUGCGUUCACCGUUCACUAAGGCAAA